rnacentral:lncRNA from 1 species
AGAAAUCAGAACGGUCAUGUUUCUUCUGCCCUUGAUAAUUUACACGUACGGCACAUUCGUACUCUCAUACUUUUCCCCGGUAAAAUUCACACAGCACAUCAUGCUGCAUCGCACGCACGCAUGCAGCUGAGCAUCAACAGCCGACGGCGGCGGACGGGCAAUCAACGGCCAGCUCACAGGCUGGGCACCCUCUCGGCGGCGCCGGAGAUGACGGUGAGCAGGUUGUUGCCGAAGGGGUCGCUGAGGUGGGCGCACAGGUUCUCGAAGGGCCCCUCGCCGGUGACGUAGGCCUGGAUGAAGAAGCCCAGCAUGGAGAACAUGGCCAGCCGUCCGUUCUUGAUCUCCUUCACCUUGAGCAGCGCCGCCUGGUCGGGGUCGGUGGCGAGGCCGAGCGGGUCGAACGGGCCGCCUGGGUGGAGCUUGUCAUCGAAUUCCUGCCGGAGAAGUUGACGAAACCGUUGGUCAGUACAAGGACGUACGCCUGGCUGCCGUAACGCACAUCUACUUCAGGGUACUGACCAGUCCGUUGGUGAUCCUGUAGUACUCGGCGCCUCCGACGAGGACGACCUCGGCGACGACGGCGAGGAUCAGGUUGAUAGGGAUGCUGUUGCCGAAGUAGUUGAGGGUGUUGCCGUCAAGGAGCAGGGCGCCGGUCUGCAGG